GACGAACGCUGGCGGCGUGCUUAACACAUGCAAGUCGAACGAAGUGGCGAACGUGUGAGUAACGCGUAAUCAACCUGCCCUUCAGAGGGGUACAACAGUUGGAAACUACUGCUAAUACCACAUACUGCAUGAGGGGAGUGCGUCUGAUUAGAUAGUUGGAGGGGUAACGGCCCACCAAGGCGAGGAUCAGUCGCCGGUCUGAGAGGAUGAACGGCCACAUGGGGACUGGGACACGGCCCAGACUCCUACGGGAGGCAGCAGUGGGGAAUCUUCCGCAAUGGACGAAAGUCUGACGAAGCAACGCCGCGUGAGUGAUGACGGCCUUCGGGUUGUAAAGCUCUGUUAAUCGGGACGCGGUACCGGAAUAGAAAGCCACGGCUAACUACGUGCCAGCAGCCGCGGUAGUUC
rnacentral:rRNA from 1 species